AAUAAUAAGGAAUCAAGAAACCGGAAAUUAUAUUACGUAUUAGAAUAUCACUGAAUAAUAGAAAUAGGAGGUCUCCUAUAGGGGACGGAAUACAUACUCGGUCUUUCCUUGCUGGACCGCCGAGUCAGAAAGACAGUAAAAGUUAUAUUCAGUGAAGUGAGAUCGUGAGCGAAUAAUAUUGUUAAUCUAUUUUUCAGAGGUGUGCUACCUUUACGUUUCCUAAAUUGAUCAAAACGUGAGUCGUGUGAGAAUCAAAACCGAUCAUUAAUUAGGUAACAACUAAAGUGAAUCGUGAGGAAAACUGGAGAAAAUACAACAUUGUGGAAAAAGGGAAGAAUCGAAAGCUCGUGUGCGCCGGCGGCCAGCCGAUUUGGGGUUAUCCAAGAUACGGCACCCCACCGUUAAAGAGCAAUUCGGUGGAUGUAGUGGAAGGAAGCUGGAUCAGUCCGCCUGGGUGCGCCCUAUCGUCUUGUGGCGCCGCGCCAUCAUAGGCCACUU